GCCGGGCACAGGGGAGUGUGCCUGUAGUCCCAGCUACUCGGGAGGCUGAGGUGGGAGGAUUGCUUGAGCCCAGGAGUUCUGGGCUAUAGUGCACUAAGCCGAUUGGGUGUCCACACUAAAUUCGGCAUCAAUAUGGUGACCUCCCGGGAGCAGGGGACCACCAGGUUGCCUAAGGAAUGGUGAACCAACCCAGGUCAGAAACGGAGCAGGUCAAAACUCCCGUGCUGAUCAGUAGUGGGAUUGUGCCUGUGAGUAGCCACUGCACUCCAGCCUGGGCAACAUAGUGAGACCCAAUCUCUA
ensembl:misc_RNA Metazoa_SRP Metazoan signal recognition particle RNA